rnacentral:misc_RNA from 1 species
UUGUGCGCGCGCUUCACCGCUUGCCGGCCACUGUUGCCACUCCUCCUCCCUCCUUCGCUCGUCCAACCACACAUGGGCGACUCGCAGCACUCCUCCGUGCACAGUCGGUACGGCGGUGGGCAGUCCAGCAUCGAUGUGAGCUCUCUCAUGACCGUCAACGUUGCAGGGCUCCGCAACUCCGGCGUUCUCUCACCGCUGGUCUGGCAAACUCCCCGGCCGACCUCAUCUGCGUCGCUUACCAUGCUUGGCUUGAACCGCCGCGACGUUCUGUCCACAUCCUCGCUAGCCCCAUGGAGCAUGACACCGAAAGCAGGUCACCAACGGCAGCAGGGGCGAGGCCUUGAGCACGGCAGUGCGCCGACCCCAACGCAGUCGUCCUCAUCUAGCUCACAAGCCAACGACGCAGCCACAACCGCGGGCUCGCCCUUCUUUGCCGGUGCCGCCAGCCUGGUAGCUUCGGCUGAGUGGGCGGCCCUUAUUACAAAACUGGGCGACUUUUACGAUUUUGUAGUGCGGCUGCCGGGCUUCCACACGGACGAUCGCACCGCGUUUUCUGCAAUGAGCUCGCGAGGAGUCGACGGCGACGCAGAGCAUAAAAGCUACCACUCUUCUGAGCUACCGCGAUCGCCGGAGUCGCCGGGGACCCUACCGCCGUCACUGCAACAGUCGAGGGAUCCACAGAGGCGGGAGGUUCUCUUCCCCGACCCUGCUGAGGCAGCGCGGCAACGCAAGACAGUGCGCUCUCCAAAGUCGUGUGACGCCUCGGUGACUCACGAAAUAGUCAGCGCCAGCGCUGUGAGUGUUUCGUCCGAGGCGUCUCGUAGGCGCAACAACAAUGCAGGCAGUCUGGAGAGGAACGGCAAGGAUGAGGAGAGCGAGGAGGAUCGCCCGUCGACGGCGCCGGCUGCCGGGCCACGGCGGCUGAACAGCACCUCUCGCUGCCUCAGCCAGGCGCCUGACGCGGAGGCACCGCCAGGCGUGACCACCGCCUUCGACCGGUACCUGGAGCAGGCUCGUCACAUGAUUCUCUGCGCCGACAGUAGUGAAGUUGACCGCGCCGUGGCGCUUGACGGGCUGCUGAUGCGCUGCCGUGAGCUCUUCGACCUGCUGAGGGACAUGUACACCCUGGCGCAUGUGCCAGGCGCGACGGCUGACCGCAGCCAUCUUUCAAUGGUGAAGGUUCUACCGUACGACGAAGUCUCCACCCCCUCGUCGACGUCCGUAUCGUCCACAUCGAGCAUCCCUCCCGGCCCCGCAUUGAGGACCCAAGAAAGCAACAGCGACACCAAAGGCGUGCCAUUGUCAUCCACGACGCAGCCGUGGAACUCGCAACUGCCGCCUCUCAGCUGGAGGCCGCUGACUGCCGCUACUGCAGCACGCUCAAAGGACGCCUUCGAGCGGGGCCGACGCACCAGUGUGAGCAGCUGCAGCAGCAGUGUAGCGUGCAUCGAGGUGCUGAACAACUACUACGUGAUGCAGCUGAUCGGAGUCGGGGCGACGGGACGCGUGUACCUGGCAGUAGACAGGCAUACCUGUAAAGCAUUUGCCAUGAAAACUGUGCCGCGGCACAGCCGCAGGGCCGUCGGCCGCCGCUUUCCGCUGGCGCCGAUGAGCGCGUCAGACAGUGAGGCGCUGCAGUUGGAGGGCUCUACGCUGAGGGCCGUGCACAUCGACGGCGCCGCUGCGCACGCGGCCGGCAGUAGCACCACCACUAACGCCCCUCUUGCUCUUGUGCGGCCCUUCUCGAUGAGCGUUGCCUCAGUGCGUCCAGCUACGCGGCGAGAAGGCACGCGUGACAGCAUGGAUGUGAGCCUCUGCGAGGCCGCGCUCGAUUCCCUCAUUCAUGUGGCCGCGACGAGCCACCCAAGUGACGCUGCAAUCCCGUUCGUGGAGAGCGUGACCGCGUCCUCCUCGGCUAUGACGCCUGGCAGCGGCGACGUCGAGGCCCCAAACACAUCGAAGAAACCACCACCGCAGACAAGCUCCAGCAAGCACCUGAACGGCAGCAGCUUACCAAUCUGUGCAGGCGGUGCCGGGCUGCACACGACGGUGUCGAGGUCAACGAACGCGGGCGAAAGCGUCGGCGGCGACAGCGUCGUCAAGUCUGUCAAGUCAGCGCAUUCGAGUGAGCUGCCUGCGGUGGAGCGGGAGAUUCGCGUUAUGCGGCGCGUGUGCAAUCACCCGCACGUGGCGCAGCUGAAGGAGGUGAUCGACGACGACAAGGAGGAUUCGGUGCACCUCGUCAUGACGUACGCUGAAAACGGCCCGCUCACCGUGAUGCACGGGUUCGACGCUGCUCUCGGCUGUGCACCGUGCGACGUUGUACGGCCAUUCUCGCGGUGCGCUCGUCUGCUGCACCAGCUCGCAGAGGCCCUCAUCUACGUGCACCGUCAGCGCAUUGUGCACAACGACGUGAAGCCGGACAACAUUCUUCUCACGGAGGCCGACAACAUCCUUCUCACAGACUUCGGUGAGAGCGUGCUGAUUUCCAAGAAGCUGCCACAGAUGCCGGCGGCGCACAUGUCCAUCGGUGCAGCUGGGGGGGAGGGGCUCAACGCAAGUGUCUUGGUGCCGCAUAACCGCUGGAAGUCGUCUCGCGGUGCCAAUGACAGCUGGGCAACCUUGAGCACGGCGGAUCGCUCGCCUUGUAGCUCUAGCCCGGCGGGGCACACCGCGAACACAUCGCAGAUGAUGGCAGAGACGUCUUUCCUGCCGGACUCGUCCAUGUUCUUGGCCGCCGGCGUCGAUGUGGAGGGGCGGCUCAAAGGGAAUCGGUCAGCCAUCGGCACCCCCGCCUUUGCGGCACCAGAGCUUAUCAUGAGCAGCACCUGCAGCUACGAUUCGGACGCGUGGUCUUUCGGAGUGGUGCUCUACUCUGUCAUCUUCGGCCGCCUGCCGUUUGCGGCGGCGACGAUCAGUGAAACGUUCAGCGAGAUCCUGAAUUCGGCGCUGUCGUUUCCGGCCUUGGAGGAGGUGCCCGAGCGGGUCGGGAUGACGGAGACGGACUACCACCAGUGGGUGGAGCUCUGCACAAAGCUGCUGGUGCGAGAGCCGCGGCAGCGAUUGCCGCUUUCAGCGGUGCUGCGCCACCCGCUGUUCCGCACACCCGCGGCCGUGGGUGCGAAGCCGUCCACGUCGGCCACAGGGGGCGUGGAGAUGCCGCGUGGUCGACGCCCACCGAGCAGAAUUCAUAGCGACUUGUCUUCGACGCCCACCCUAUGGUGGCCGAACCACAGUAGCCAGGCUUCGCGGCCAGUGUCCGACAAAGAAGGUUCACCGUUGAUGUCGCGGGCGGCGCGCGCCGCCAUGCCUCCGUUGAUGUCGCGCGAAGGUGCUGCUUCUGUGAGCGCUGCUGCAAAUCGCCGAUGCAGCACGGAGGGUUCUAAAUCGCCGUUGACGAGAGGUGGCGCGGUGCGCGAGGCCGUGCUUGACCGCCAUCGGCUGCAGACCAUGGCAGGUAGUAGCCAGGCCUCCUCCAUCUUCGCGAGCUCUGGCACUUCGAUGGCUUCGCUGAGCCCCCCGGCUGCCAGCGCCGGCUUUGGGCGCCGUUCUAAGCCAACUGUCGCGGAAGCUGCGGCGCCGCAGAUGUGGCCGGAGAUACGACCACUUCAAGCGGCCCGCCUCCAAUGCCAGUGCGCCUGGCCGAACUCCUCGCCGGCGGGGCGACACUCCUUCUCCGGCGCUUCAAGUGUUCACACAGCCUCCUUCACGGCUACUGGCCAUGUGGGCAGGCCGCGGGAGCACACGCUCGUGUACAAGCAGGGCUUCGCCAGCCAGAGCGCCAGCGCUAUCCAAAGCCCAAUCAACCGGUCUUUCUUCUCGACAUCGACCCCAUUCAAGGAGUCACCGCCAGAUCGCGUCGUGACGCCGGGGAUUCAGCUGACAAGCUGCACCGACUUCACCUCCCCACUGCCCUGUCUCCUCACGCGCGCCGGCAGCAGCACUCCCGACCUUGGCACGGAGGACCAUGAGGAGGAUCAACAGGAUGAGAGCGGCAAAGAGGAGUCACGCAGCUCCAAUGUUGCUGGCGCCGUCAUUGCUCUGGCGGCCGUUGCCGCGCCAGCGCCUCCUGCCUCACCACCGGCGACGUCCUCAGCCGGGCGGCCGCGCUCCGUCGCAGCGGCGAGGGGGGCUCGUGAGGACACUGCGGCGGUGGGACCAUGUGUGCAGCGCCGGUGCAGCGAGGAGGAGCCAUGCGAGGGGGACGGCAGCAGUGGUGCUGGCUGUAACUUCUCGUACUGGGGCUCUUCGAACGACGUGGCAGACAGCGGCGACAGCGAGAAUGAGAGGCGGAAGCAGGAGAUCAACGAUAAAGCGUCGCAGCUGCCAAAGCCGCCCCUGCGGCCGCCCAGUGGGCGCUCGGCCCACUCUUCGAGUGCGGUGAGGCCGCUGGCCUCUCUGCAGGAAGUAGUCGCCCAACACGUGAAACCCAAGGGCAGAGGUGAGCACCUAAAAUCUGUGGCUGGCGUCCCUUACGGCGACUCGACGAUCGCUCCCGGAAGCCCCGAUAACCUCUCCGCGACAAGAGAGUUGGUGCAGAAGGCGCGCGAGACGGAGUCGCCGGUGCAGCAACGGGUCUCGAAGUCGUCGCCGCUGUCGAACAAUCUGGUGGUGAACGGCACCGCCUGUGGUGGCUCCUCGUCUCCGUGCCCAUCACCGUUGAAGUCGACAUCUGAGAUACCCCCUGCACAGGCGAAAAAGUCGCGGUUCUGGUGUCAUCGUUAAGCACUACGCUUAUGCGUUCUCAAGAGGAAAGCACGCUCCUCGCACCUCGGCUGCUGCCGCAGGUGCUUUCUUCGGCUUAGCUUGGACUCUGCAUAUGUAUUGGUGUUGAUGCGCGUGCACGUGUGUGUGGGUGUUGCUAGUGCGUCCAUUGUGGAAUGUGUGCUGGUGUGCGCUCGUGUUGAGUGUGCGCAUGCCUGGUGAGCACGUCCGGGGCUCUGGUGGGUGGGUGAGCUGUGGUGGUGGGUGGGGCGGUGAGGCGCUCCCUCUUCGUACGUCUCCCUCAUCGUUCCGCUGCUCUAGAUGACAACUGGGCGCGCCUGCGUGUCUCUCUGUCAUGCCUUGUGGCGGUUUCUCUUUCUCUUCCCUUGCAUCUUGUGCUACGAUGAUGUAUACUGCUUGUGUGGAAAUUAGCGAACAAGCAGGCUAAUCGUCUCUCCUCUUCUUUGCAUUUGUGUGCGUUCCUCCUACCUCACUUCCUCUCCACGCACGCAUGCAGCGAGAGGGAGGGAGGGAGGGAGAGACGCGCAGAGGUUGGUAGAGGCACGUAUGUAAUGAUAAAGGGCGCUCGCUUUUCUGGAGCGCUGCGCAUUUCCUUUGUUUCGGCCUCCGGCCCUUUUCCAUUUUGUGUUCUCUCUUUUUGCCCCUUUUGCACCGUGCCGACUUCACCCAUGGAACCGUUUCUUUCGUGCUUGCGCCUUUGCAUGCCGUCUUUUCCUUGGGGAGUGCCCCUCCUUCCUCCCCCACGACGGCUUCUCUCCGUUUCUCUCUCUCUCGCUCGGAGCACCUCCGCCUCCCUCGUGCUCUGCUCUACUUUAGAAUUUCGCGCUUUUUCUUUCGUGCGAGCGUGGGAGGGGAGGGCUUCCAUCCAUCAACCCGCCACGCUCCUCGUCAUCUCGCGCUUCUUCUUGCGUCCCCCUCCCGUGGACAUCUCUCUCGCUCUCUAUGUGUGUGUGUGUGUACACGUAUGUAUGUAUAUAUAUGCACACACACACACAUGUAUGUGUGCAUAUGCACACGUGUCUAAGUGUGUCGGUGCGUGCUAAGUAAACGCGCUUGCGGGACUACGAGAUCGCUGCGUCGUUUCCCAUUUCUCUCUUUGAGACUCUGCUCUCCCAAAGCGGCGCCCCACCACCACCACCACCACCACCACCACCACCACCACCACCACCACCACCACCACCGCGCGCACAGUCCUCUACCAUGCCCAUCUUUUCCGGCUCCCCCUUGCCGACUGCUUCCUAUGCGAUGCGUCUUCCUUUUCCUUCUUUUCGUAGUUGCGAGGCAACAGAGGGUGGGCAUGUGAUUUCUGGAUGAGCAGAUACGCACGAUCACAUGUAACUGUCUUACACCCCCUCUCUUUCUCUUCUUCCACCCGGUGUUCAUUCCUCUUGCGUGCUGCGCUCAGUGGUGGCUGCGAAGUCUCUUUGUGUCUGCGCCUGCGUAAGCCGGCACAGCUGAACGUGCCCGUAUGUCUGUUAUUUUGAAGGUGUUUUACGUCCUCUAUUUUUUUCCUGUUAAUAGUUCCUCUUCCUCUUUUCUUUGGCUACUCAUCGACUUCUCAUCCCCUCCUCACUCAAACACACACGCACGCACAUACAGCCGCCCCCUCCCCUCUUUUCCUCAUUCUCCAUCCGCUCAUCAGCAUCGGUCGUCCGCUGGUGCGCAGGUGUGCUUCUCUUUCAUUGUUCUUUUGUGUUACGAGCAGCACCCCUGUCAUGUAUAUCCAUGUGUGUCUGUGUGCGUCUUCGCCGCCCUAUUAGCGGUGACGCGUGAGGAGAUGGUGCGUGUCCUUUCCUUUCCUGACUCGUUUCAACAGCAGCUUGCACUCGCCUCGGCCCUCUUCAUCUACCCACUCUGGUAGGCGAGUGCCGCGCAGUCCUCUCCUCUUACUCGUCGUUCUUCCCACAGUCUGUAUUUCUCGUUUUUAUGCCUUGCUUGCCGUUUUUCUCUGUAGUUUCCGGGUGCGGCGCAACACCAGCAGAGCAAGCACGAUCUUGAGCAUUCUUUUGCACAUCUCUUAUACACCUGCGCACCCCCUCCCCAUUCACCCACCCACCCACAUACAUGCAUACAUAUAUGUAUGGAUAUAUAUGUGGGCAUGUGCGUGCAGGACAGCCCUGAAGUGCGUAGUGGAUGCGCAAAAAAAAAGUGCAGGCCCCAAUAUAUGGGGAGCCCUGCUUCCGUAGAGAGCCUAGAUGUGUGUGCCACACAUGCGGCAGCUCUUUGGAUCGUCGUCUUGUCUGCGUUUUGCCCCCCCCCCCCCCCCCCCCCCCCCCCCACCUUUUAUUUUAGCUUCAUACCCCCCCCCCCCCCCCGUCGGUAUUUCGCGUUCUCUUGUCACGCUCUGUGUGCCGCUGGAUGCGCUGAGGCAGUGACGGCGGCGGGGGAGGAGUGUGUGUGUGUGUGAGGACUACUACCCUGGGAGAUGGAUGUCUGUUCUUAUUGUUAUUGUAAGGAGGACUACUGAGAGAGAAGGGCAAGAUUUGGAACUCUGGAACCCUACUUCCGCUGCUGUUGUUCUCUCGUGUGUCCGUGUGUGCUUGUGUGGUUCACAGAGAACGUCGUUUCUCUCUAUGCGUGAAGGCGUGUGCGCUGCCGAGUUUAUGAUGCGCCUGGGCUCCCGGCUUGUCGGCUCCCAUUCUGUUUAGCUUUUUUUUGUCUUCUUACGUCCUCUAUUCCGAAUCGCCGUUUCGACGCCCCCCUUCUUCUUCCUAUUCGGAUCUCCUUAAACACAUACACGUAUAUAUGUGUGUAUAUGGUAUUUGUGCUGUCUGUGGGCUUCCUUUUCUUCUUUCACUCUUCUGAUGUGUGAUGGUGCAUGUGUGUGAGCGUAUGUAUCUCUGCCGCUUUUUAUCUGUUGCCGCUGAUGUCGGUGCACCGAUGUGCGCUCAUGCGUGUGUGCCUGCGUGUGCGUGUGCUUUCAUGGCUCGCUUUCGCCUUUUCGCUUUUCGUGUUAUUCGAUCACGGUGUAACGGCAGGGGAAUUCCACGCACACACACACACACACACACACACACACACGGAAGCGGGCGGCUGCGCUGUCCCCUCGAUUACUUGACACCGCCUGCUCGGCUCUCUUCUUCUCCGACGCUUCUGCGCCUGUGAUACGAAUGGGUCGCCUUUUCUGCUGGAUAGCCACCAAGCAGCGGCUGCUGUGCACCGGCACAUGGCGCACUUGCCGACGUGCCGUUCCCAUCUCUGCCGCUGCUCGCAUCCUGACCAGGGGAUUGGUGGUGUGGGUGGAGGUCGUUGAGCGUAGCGGGGGCGGCAUGGGGAAGGGCGGCUGUGCUGUUGCCCUGCUUCCCGAGCCAUUGCAGUCUUUCGUCGCUUGCGCGGUGCUUCUGCCGCCGCUGCUGCAUUUUUCUGCUUGCGUGCGUCCUCUCUUUCUCUCUCUGCCUCUCAUCAACAUGCACGCACAACUCUAUUCACCAUGUGCGGUUGCCCCACCCCUUUUCGUAUUCGCGUGCGAUGCUUCAUCACGUGUCGCCACCCGCGCACGUUUUCGUUUUGUGCCUCACAACCGCCGUGAAACCCCGCCAG